GUUGAAAGGAAACACAGAACCCUUCUUGAGACUUGUAGGGCUUUACUUUUUCAGUCUGGGUUACCUACUUCUUUCUGGGGGGAUUAUUUACUCAUUGCUACAUACCUGAUUAAUAGAAUACCUACAGAUUGUUACAUAACAAAUCCCCUCAUGAAUUGUUGUAUGGGAAACCUCCUACUUUUCUUCAUUAAAGGGCUUUUGGCUGCCUUGCUUAUGCCAUUGUUCCAAUCCCUCAAAGGGACAAAUUGAAGCCUAGAGCUAUCCCUUGUGUUUUCUUGGGGUAUCCUUUUGGCAAAAAGGGUUACAAAUUUUAUGAUCUUAAUUCCAAGAAAUAUCUGGUCUCCAGAGAUGUCAUAUUUCAUGAAUCAUGUUUUCCUUUUAAGUCUUCAUCUCCUGCUGUUUCACCUUCUGUCUCCUCAUUCCCUUCUGUUCCUUCUGGAGAAGAUGAUGAUUUGACUGAUUCUCCCUUGCCUACUGUUUCUUCCUUGCCUUCUGGAGAAAAUGAUGAUCUCCCUGAUUCUCCCUCCUCUGUCCCUCCACCUUCUUUUGAUCCUAUUCUUCCUUCACCUCCUAUUUUGCCUUCCUCUCCUUCUGCUCCUGUUUUCAGAAAAUCUACCAGGACACAUAAUCCUCCCUCCUAUCUUAAGGACUAUGUCUGCCAACUCCCUGCCUUCUCUGGCUCUUCUUCCUCCUCUUUGGAAUCUGAACCACUGUAUUACUCUCAGGCAGCUUCAGUUCCAGCUUGGCAUGAUGAUUUGACUGAUUCUCCCUUGCCUACUGUUUCUUCCUUGCCUUCUGGAGAAAAUGAUGAUCUCCCUGAUUCUCCCUCCUCUGUCCCUCCACCUUCUUUUGAUCCUAUUCUUCCUUCACCUCCCAUUUUGCCUUCCUCUCCUUCUGCUCCUGUUUUCAGAAAAUCUACCAGGACACAUAAUCCUCCCUCCUAUCUUAAGGACUAUGUCUGCCAAAUCCCUGCCUUCUCUGGCUCUUCUUCCUCCUCUUUGGAAUCUGAACCACUGUAUUACUCUCAGGCAGCUUUAGUUCCAGCUUGGCAGGAUGCCAUGAGAAAGGAGUUUGCGGCCUUGGACACCAACCAAACUUGGGAUGUUGUUCACCUUCUUCCUGGUAAGAAACCAAUUGGUUGCAAGUGGGUUUAUAAAAUCAAGUACAAGACUGAUGGGUCUAUUGAAAGGUAUAAGGCCAGACUUGUUAUUAGGGGGGAUACUCAAGUUGAGGGGGUUGAUUUCACAGAAACUUUUUCUCCUGUGGUCAAAAUGUGUACUGUUAAAUGUUUGAUUGCUGUUGCUGUGAAAAAGAAUUGGAAUCUGUUUCAACNNN
rnacentral:lncRNA from 1 species